GUGGGGAAUUUUGGACAAUGGGCGCAAGCCUGAUCCAGCAAUGCCGCGUGCAGGAAGAAGGCCUUCGGGUUGUAAACUGCUUUUGUACGGAACGAAACGGUCCGGGUUAAUACCCUGGGCUAAUGACGGUACCGUAAGAAUAAGCACCGGCUAACUACGUGCCAGCAGCCGCGGUAAUACGUAGGGUGCAAGCGUUAAUCGGAAUUACUGGGCGUAAAGCGUGCGCAGGCGGUUUUGUAAGACAGGCGUGAAAUCCCCGGGCUCAACCUGGGGAUUGCGCUUGUGACUGCAAGGCUGGAGUGCGGCAGAGGGGGAUGGAAUUCCGCGUGUAGCAGUGAAAUGCGUAGAUAUGCGGAGGAACACCGAUGGCGAAGGCAAUCCCCUGGGCCUGCACUGACGCUCAUGCACGAAAGCGUGGGGAGCAAACAGGAUUAGAUACCCGUGUAGUCC
rnacentral:rRNA from 1 species